rnacentral:sRNA from 1 species
AUUCUGCCCAUGUAGGGAAGGAUGAGAAGCUUCGACCAAGGUUCGAUUCGAGCGUAGCGAGAAAGCGUUGCCGCAGGCAACGACCCGAAGGGCGAAGCGCGCAGCGCUGAGUCAUCCUUCCCCCACCACCA